GUAAGGAAUAUUGGUCAAUGGGCGGAAGCCUGAACCAGCCAUGCCGCGUGCAGGAAGACGGCCCUACGGGUUGUAAACUGCUUUUAUACCGGAAUAACCCUCAUUACGAGUAAUGGGCUGAAUGUACGGUAAGAAUAAGGAUCGGCUAACUCCGUGCCAGCAGCCGCGGUAAUACGGAGGAUCCAAGCGUUAUCCGGAUUUAUUGGGUUUAAAGGGUGCGUAGGUGGCUUUUUAAGUCAGGGGUGAAAGACGGUAGCUUAACUAUCGCAGUGCCUUUGAUACUGAAGAGCUUGAAUGAACUAGAGGUAGGCGGAAUGUGACAAGUAGCGGUGAAAUGCAUAGAUAUGUCACAGAACACCAAUUGCGAAGGCAGCUUACUAUGGUUUUAUUGACACUGAGGCACGAAAGCGUGGGGAUCAAACAGGAUUAGAUACCCUUGUAGUCC
rnacentral:rRNA from 1 species